rnacentral:rRNA from 1 species
AAAGGAAUUGACGGGGACCCGCACAAGCGGUGGAUGAUGUGGUUUAAUUCGAUGCAACGCGAAAAACCUUACCCACCUUUGACAUGGCAGGAAGUUUCCAGAGAUGGAUUCGUGCUCGAAAGAGAACCUGCACACAGGUGCUGCAUGGCUGUCGUCAGCUCGUGUCGUGAGAUGUUGGGUUAAGUCCCGCAACGAGCGCAACCCUUGUCAUUAGUUGCUACAUUCAGUUGAGCACUCUAAUG